rnacentral:rRNA from 1 species
AUUGAACGCUGGCGGCAGGCUUAACACAUGCAAGUCGAGCGGGGGAAGGUAGCUUGCUACCGGACCUAGCGGCGGACGGGUGAGUAAUGCUUAGGAAUCUGCCUAUUAGUGGGGGACAACAUCUCGAAAGGGAUGCUAAUACCGCAUACGUCCUACGGGGGAAAGGGGGGGAUCUUCGGACCUCUCGCUAUCAGAUGAGCCCAUGUCAGAUUAGCUAGUUGGUGGGGUAAAGGCCUACCAAGGCGACGAUCUGUAACUGGUCUGAGAGGAUGAUCAGUCACACUGGAACUGAGACACGGUCCAGACUCCUACGGGAGGCAGCAGUGGGGAAUAUUGGACAAUGGGCGAAAGCCUGAUCCAGCCAUGCCGCGUGUGUGAAGAAGGCCCUAGGGUUGUAAAGCACUUUCAGUGGGGAGAAAGGCCUUUUACUUAAUACGUAAGAGGAUUGAUGUUACCCACAGAAGAAGCACCGGCUAACUCCGUGCCAGCCGCCGCGGUAA